rnacentral:rRNA from 1 species
GACGAACGCUGGCGGCGUGCUUAACACAUGCAAGUCGAACGGUGAAGCGCCUUCCUUUUUGGUGGGUGUGGAUCAGCGGCGAACGGGUGAGUAACACGUGAGUCACCUGCUCCCUUCUUCUGGACAACCGCAUGAAAGUGUGACUAAUACGGGAUAUAUUGAGUCUGUUGCUUGAUGGGUCUGGGACGGAUUUUGUUUCGCUGGGGGAUGGGCUCGCGGCCUAUCAGCUUGUUGGUGUGGUGAUGGCCUACCAAGGCGGUGACGGGUAGCCGGCCUGAGAGGAUCGACCGUCACAGAGGGACUAAGACGCGGCGCAGACUACUAGGGGCGGCAGCAGUGAAGAAUAUGGCACAAGCGGCAGAAUGCUGAAGCAGCGACGCGGCGGGGGUGAAGGUGGCCGGCGCGUUAAAAACCUCUAUCGCCAAUGAAGCAGGGCGGACGCAACUGUGGAUGGGUUGACGGUAGCUGGACAAAAAGCGACGGCUAACUACGUG